AUGAGGGGGUGGGUUUGGGAGAACAAUUUAUAUAUUCUGUACAGAUGUUUUCUUAAUAUGUAUAAUUUUGUACAUAAUUUUCUGUUAUGUGUACUAAGUAGAUUGUUAAAUAGAUGUCCCAAAAAGUUUUAUUUUUGUACCGCAAAGGGUUGGUGAAUCAGACAGACUGCACAUAUAAUUGACCUAUUCAUUUUAUGACAAAACUGUUAGGAGAGCCCAAAUAGGUUACUAAGUAAAGCUGACUGUUGGCACAUAAAGCACGUUUUCAUGUCAUACUGUGAGCAUUGAUAGAAUCAUGUUUUGGUUUUCCCAUCACUUAUUGCCUAAGAACAUUUAUAAGAGGUCUACUUUAACAAUUUAUAGAGAGUAAUUUCAGUAUUUUAUUUUUUUUUCUCCAAGUUUAGUAAAAUACAUUCAGCUGUUAAUGACUUGUGUGCGUUCAACAAACCCCUAUUGGUACUCUAUAGUUUUGAUGAUCUUUAAAUAUCUUGCAUUCUCAAAACCCAUCAGGGAAGUUGUUCAUUGUUAUUCUUUAUACUCUAUGUAAUUUUAAUUAUAUCCUCAAGUUUUCUGACCCAGGGAUAAUUCAGAUUAUACUGAAUUUGAGCUCCUUUUUAGUUUCCUUCGCUUUUCAGUCAUUUUCGUUCAAAUAUACAUUAUUUCACAAGUUUUUUUGCUUGUUUACUCAUUUAACCACCGCAAUGUAGGUCAAGACUUGUUUGGAGUUAUGUAUAUUCUAACCUUUAGGGCACAUGGGCUUUUGUAUUGAAUGUCAAUCUUACUUAACAAAAUAUUUGGUCUAUUAAAACAAAAAAAAGACCUAUUGAGGGUUUGAGAAUACCAAUUCUUAUUACAAUUAAUAAAUCUGUUUCAUGUAAAUAGUGCCUUAACUAAAUUUAAAAUGUGCUUUUAUGUAAAGAUGCAAUUUCCAUGUGUAACUGUUUAACUGCUAGUUGACCAUGCAGUGCAGGUGAAGCAAUGUAAUGGAAGAUGACCAGUAUGUGCUAUUAGGUGUGGAGCCUUUUGUUAAAUGGGUCACUAGACAAUAAAGGACUCAAUCCCACAGUGAUUAAUACCAUUACCCAUGAGGGUUCAUUUAUAGGGACAAUCCAAGAUCCUUAAGCACUACAACUUUUUAUAGUGAUUACGGUUCUUGAAAACUGUGGGUGCAGUACUUUGUUGUGAUGUUUUUGUUAAACUGUUAAACAUUGAGGAAUUCAGUGCACCCAGUGCUCCUACAUUAACUUUCAACAUCAUAAUGAGGACGCAUUAAGAGAGCUGGGAUGUAGGAUAAUCUGCUUCAUCCAGUAGCCACAAACUUUUGGAUGUCUUGCAUUAUUACUGCAGUCUUUGUGUCAAUUACAUGGUGCUUGGAAGCCUUAGAAAGGAUUCAAAGUAGGAGAAUCCUCCUAUGUUCCAUCAUAGUGAGCCUCAUACUGCACUGACUGACCAUGCAGUGUAGGAACUUGGAACAGUUAAUGAGUGUAAGAGAUCCUCAUUAUAAUUGUGUAAGUUAAAGUGGGUGGGCAUUGGAUGUUGAAGAUUCCUUUGUUUUUGUUUUUUUGUCAUACCAUUUCAAAUAUGACAAAGACUGUGUUGCUGCUUCUUAGCACCAUAGCUACUACAGGUAACUGUAGUUGUUAUUGUGCAUCAAAGCACUUUUAAAUUUUUAGUGACCAUUCUAUGCCACUUGCGGUCACAUUACUCUUUACCUUUUCUUAAUCAUCGUUAAGUUUCGAGAUCAGCUGUCAGACUUCAGACUAUUCAGAAUACAGCUCCAUUGUACCUUUGCAACAAUUGCUGUUUUGGCUGUCAAAGGUUUGUGGAAAUAGUAGCUGAACAGCCGGAGGACCUUUAUUUGUUUUUGUGUGUUUUUUUCCCCCCUUCUAUAAAGGUACAAUGUUUUGCAAAAUGCUUGUGAGAAUUUUUUUUAAUUUUUUUAUUUUUAGCUUUAAUUUCUGACCUGCAUCCAAUGUUUGUUUUCUUAUAAUUUUCUUUUUUUAAUUUUUUUUAAUUUAAGCUUAGACAGGAAAAACCCUUGUAUAUUUACACAUUUGUGUGGAUUUGAUUUUUUUUUUUUUUGUUUGUUUCUAUUUUUUUUUUAUAAAUUAAUGUAUACCAAGCAAGUGCUCCUCAUGCAUUGCCAAGCUUGAGUAAAAAUGGGCCACAGAAAUGUCAGUGUCAUGCGAAUAGGGAAUGAUUAUCUCUGAUGUACAGUAUAAUUGUAUUAUAGUUUUUACAAUAUGGUGGAUAUGUGUCAUAGUAUGAUAGGCAAUAUUGUUGAAUUUCUAACUGUUUAUACAUUUAAUUCAUCCUAUGUAAUGUUUGUUUUAUUGAUUUAAAAGCUGAAUUUCUAAGAGCAUGUUCACUUUUGCAAUAAAGAAACAUGGUUCAGUGGUUCAAAACAACACCAGUAAAAAAAAAAAAAAAAAAAAAAAAAAAAAAAAAAAAAAAAAAAAAAAAAAAAAAAAAAAAUCAGAACAAAAAAAAUAAAAAGACGAAAAAAAAGUCAAUGGGAAAAAAACAUAAACCAUUCAAACAUCCUUCUCACUGUAUUAAUUCGGCAACCGUAUCAGAACCACUCCAG